UACGUAGGUGGCAAGCGUUGUCCGGAAUCACUGGGCGUAAAGCGUACGCAGACGGCUUGGUAGGUCGGAUGUGAAAGCCCCGGGCUCAACCCGGGAAUUGCAUCCGAAACCACCUCGCUCGAGUGUGGGAGAGGGAAGCGGAAUUCCUGGUGUAGAGGUGAAAUUCGUAGAUAUCAGGAGGAGCACCGGCGGCGAAGGCGGCUUCCUGGCCCAUUACUGACGUUCAGGUACGAAAGCGUGGGUAGCAAACAGG
rnacentral:rRNA from 1 species